rnacentral:rRNA from 1 species
UGAGGAAUAUUGCGCAAUGGCCGAAAGGCUGACGCAGCGACGCCGCGUGGGGGAUGACGGCCUUCGGGUUGUAAACCCUUGUCAGUGGGGAAGAAAAAAAUGACUGUACCCACAGAGGAAGCCCCGGCUAACUACGUGCCAGCAGCCGCGGUAAGACGUAGGGGGCGAGCGUUGUUCGGAAUUACUGGGCGUAAAGAGCGCGUAGGCUGGAAAUUAAGUCUGUGGACAAAUCCCCCGGCUCAACCGGGAACCGUUUAGGGAUACUGAUUUUCUUGAGAACAGGAGAGGGGAAUGGAAUUCCUAGUGUAGCGGUGAAAUGCGUAGAUAUUAGGAGGAACACCAGUGGCGAAGGCGGUUCUCUGGCCUGUUUCUGACGCUGAGGAGCGAAAGCUGGGGGAGCGAACG